GACGAACCGUGCGAACGUUAUUCGGAAUCACUGGGCUUAAAGCGCGUGUAGGCGGGAGGGCACGUCCGUCGCUGAAAUCCCCCGGCUCAACCGGGGAACGGGCGCGGAUACGACCUUCCUUGAGGGGCGUAGGGGGACCUGGAACUUCCGGUGGAGCGGUGAAAUGCGUUGAGAUCGGAAGGAACGCCCGUGGCGAAAGCGAGGUCCUGGACAACACCUGACACUGAGGCACGAAAGCUAGGGGAGCAAACAGG
rnacentral:rRNA from 1 species